rnacentral:lncRNA from 1 species
AUGUCUGUCCCUAGCGGAGGCGCGGGUGCCGUGCUGAGAGCGCCUGCCUGUGCGCCCCGAGCGGGGCUGGGACUCUUCCAAGAUGCCCACGUUCGCACAGAGACCCCGGAUCGCGGAAGCUCGCGUCUCGAAAGGCGGUCUCACGCCCUGCCCGUCCUGGGUUCACGGUUUUUCAUCACCUGCGGCUGUCCUGCGAUCGACCACAGCUGUGCAGGAGGGGCAGGAGGUAUCUGUUGCUGCAGUUACCGGAACCUUUGCCAGGACUAGUACAGGACCACGGGUGAGGAUGGUGGGGAAGCCUGCGUGGGGCAGGGAACGGUGAGGCAGGAAGAGGGAAGGGCAGCAGAGGCCUGAGUGGUUGCAGGUUCACACACUGAGCUGCCAGUAACUGCCCAGCUCAGACGGGCUCAAAUUCAGAAGCCACCAUUGCUCCUCACCCCCACCCCCAGGUCAGCUGUCCACUAGCUCUGCCAUGACUUGAUACUGCAGCUCAAACAGUGCCAACCAAAACCCACUCUCCUCACCGCCUGUUAUGGGUAACACGGUAUGGUUACAGCUUUACUCAUGUCCUCUUUCCCCAGGCUGGUAGCUCAGGGAUGUCUCGUCUGUGAGUUACAGCUGCACGCUCUCCAGGAAAGAAGGAAUUUCCUCUUCUCUGGAAACCCCACCACACAGCUGGUUUCUCAUUGGUGCUGCUUGCCCAUUCCCUGAGCUGUGACUGCCAGAGGAGUGGGAGGUUGGUGGUGCCUCCAGCCCAUCAGGGGCAGGCCCUGGGACCGCCUGGGAACAGGAGGACUAUGGCACAAACCGAGUGAGUGAUGGGAGCAACCCGCAGGGCUCUGCCACAUCCCUGUCUUCCUUCACUGACAUGAAACGCAGAAAAGGCAGCUUUGCCACAACACAGGAGCACGCACCGAAUGUGGCCGCCCAGGGCUCUGUCCUUGACCCUGUUGUCCAGGACUGUUUACCAAGGGCUGACAGGCACUGAGUGCCCCGUGCACCUGGCCAGACACUGCACUCAUGCAGCGGAAAGGACAGUGAACGAGACUUUGUCCCUGGCCUCCAAAGGCUUAGGGCGUAGUGGCUGUCAUGAGGCACAGUGACAAGGGCCAGGAGGGGGACCUCUUAGGGGGCCAUGCAGUGAUGGAAGCCAGAAGGAAUGAAGGCCUGCAGUGAGGAUGGAGUGGUCGGCCUGAAGCCAUCUCUAGCAAGUGGUCAGGACGCUGAUUGUUCUGCGCAGGUUGGAGGUAGGUGGUGAGUCUGAGAAAGGGGCCGGAAAGACUCCCCAGCAACUGCUGGCAAAGGGUGAAGGGCACGUUCCCACAGGAUUCAAGCCAGCUGCCUUUGGAGGGGAGACGGGCACUCAGUUUAGGCGCUCCUACAGCAGGGUCAGCAAGACAAGCAGGUUGCGGCAAGGGUCUGCGCACUGCUGUGUAAAUGUAGGGGCAUCGGGGGGCAGAAAGACCAGGGGAGAAGUGUGCAUCACCCUUGGGGUUAAGGGACAGUUGUCUGCUAGGUGUUGCUUCCUGGAGAUGGCUGAAAAGCCAGUCCAGUCUGCAGGGACCAGGCCACCACCCACCUGAUGUGGGAGCAUUUCCCCCAAUCCCUGCUGGGCUGCUGAAUCUGGGGGACAUAGGGAAGCUGAGGCUGGUGUUCUGAGUAGUGGCAGAGCUGAGCCACAGGGCAUGUCUGAGGUCAGCCCCGAGCAAAAUGGAAUAGGGACUCAGGGUGGGUCAGGUAACUGGAAAGCGGGCACUGUGCACGCAGCCCUUGAGGGGAGCCAGGGUGGGUGGGGAUCCCCCACUGUGUGCAGAAGGCAGCAGCCUUGGAAGCAGGGUGUGCUCCUCGGUGUGGUCGCUCGAUACCAGAAAAUGACUCUAAAAACUGAAGAGUGUUUGAGUUUCAUUCACACAAAACAUGGACAUCAUCUGUGAGGCUCUGUCCCAGAGAGACAGGGCCAUCCCUCAUGUCUGUUAUUGGGUUGUAGAUAAACAAAAGUAUAAAUC